UCAACUGGACAAUUGAUAACAUCCAGCCACAGUCAUUAUAAUGUCCAUGCACACAGCAGAACCUUGCUGCUAAAACAAAGGUUUUCUGAAGUACCACACACAGUACCAACAGUGACCCAAACUAAAAAUCCCCUGAGUGAAACGCUGCAUGACGAAAUCCCUUGAAAUAGAAACGAAGCCUUCCUUCCUAGGCUGCAGUAGUGUUUUAAGAUUUAACUUGUUUUCUACAUUUUCAACUUUAAAUAUUUUCCUUGUAAGCUAUUCUUACCUUUCCUAGCUUAAAGAAACAUUUUUUU